CCAGUUUGAGGAGCGGCCAAGCAACGUCAUAGUCUUUCAGGAUACCUCGACCUCUGACACCAUGACUCCUGCCAGUGGCACUAGGUGCGUCUGUCUAACCAGCCAAGUCCAGAAACCAAGCUCGCCAAUCAUCUCUCAAGUCAACAAACCCCCACCACCUUGCACACUGAAAAGAGAUGUAACUGAGAGUUCAGCCAAGAAGACAUCUCGCAACAAAGUGAAGCUGGCAGCUAACUUCUCCUUUGCAACCGUAACUCGACUUUAAGCACCAUUACACACGUACACAUAAUGAAGCCAGAAGUAUCCACUCCAACAGAAUAUGUUGAAUAAGUCUCUGUAAUCUGCAUUUUAGUUGCCAUAUACAUUUUUUUCUUGUUGAUACGUUAGAAAUGUCUUAUGAUUUGCCAACUGUGUGCUGCUAUAUAUACUUUUUUUUGUAUGUGGAAGCUUUUUUAAUGUCAUUACCCUUAUUUCAUGAAAGAUUACACCUAUUUUAAUUGAUCAAAAGUCUAGGCCCGGUGUAAUGUUUCAUUUAGCAGUGGCUCUGCCUUUGCAGAUUUUGUUUUAAAAUGACAUGCGUGUUAUGAGACCUUCAUGCAAAGCCAUGGUGAAAAGUGGAAAGACGCCGUUUAGUUAUAGAAAAACUUACAAUUUUAAGUUUGCAUUUUCUUUUUCUCCUACUCUUUAAAUGUAAAAAGCAGAAGAAACUGAUUUAUACUUGUGAUUUAGUGUAAAUAAGCAAACAAGAUUACAGCUUUAAACUGAGUAAGUUGUAACUGCAUACCAGAAUCUCAUGAAAUGUACUCUGUAACACUGCAAAAUCUCAAAUUCACCACACAUACACAGGUGUCCUCAGAUCUGAUUUAUCUGUUACAGUAGAAUGAAAAACUAACUGUAAACAUGGCCAAAAUGCUCUUCUGGGGGGAGGGGGCACUAGUGUGUUUGGGGUCUUGUAGCUGGCAGGUACCUUUCCAGGUAACCAGCACCUUUCACCACAGCAUGGAUUUUGGGCCUUUGCAUUGGGCCAUGCAUUUUCAAAAGAGCUUGUAUUUGUUAAAGGCACUUAAUUAUUGGUGCUAAUUUAGCAUAACAAUUUUGAUUUAGUUUUUGUCUAAUUUAAUUUGACUUUCUAGCUUUGGUGCAUACCUGUUCACUGACCGAACUUGACAUGCCAUUAUGUACGGUGUUUGCUUCAAACCAAUUGAUAAAAUCUAGACUUUGAUAUUGUUUUGUUUAACACAAAAUUCUGCUCCAGUUGAAGUUAGUGUAUUUUGUAUUCAUUCUGCAAUUGACUGCAUUAGGACAGUGUUAUAUUUUGUUUGUUGCAAUGAGCUUGACUUUAAAGACCCAGGAGUGUGCUAGUCUGAUGAGAGUCUGUGUACUUGUCUGUGGCACUCUUAAGACCAGGGACUAUCUUUGUUGUGCUGUUUUUAUGUUCUUUGUAAGUUUAAAAUUUUGCCUUUUGAUGGUGAUUUUUUUAGGAAAGAGAAAGAUUGCGUGAAAAGGACAUGCCUAAGCCUCUACCAAAGCAGCUGAAAUGGAUACUGGUGUGUAACAGUGCGCACACUAACGUAGGGGCUGAGCAUUUGAUUUACGUUGGGGUAAUUUAUUAUGAAGUUGUGGACUGCUGUUUACAAGGCAAGAUAUGGUGUGAAAUAUGCAUCUAAUGCAUAAAUCACAGCCGGUUUUGAAGAAAUAAAUCGUAGGGGGAAUGAUGAGGCAUGGUGUGGGGUAGAUAAACUGUAGUUUAAUUGUUUUGUAAGCCAUUUCCAACCAGGAUGACACCUUCUGGGUAUCUGUGGAAAUGUCAAGGUUGUUUUCUUUAACCUUGUUGGUUUAUUUGUUUCUUUUUAAUUAAAUAAUUGAAGAAAAAAGAACUAUGUGUUUGUGUAUGUUGAGUUCAAGGGGAGUGGCUAGCUGCCUCCUUUUUUAUUUUUUGUAUCAUAAUAAAAGUAUGUUUUUAUUCUAAUGGUCAUUUAGUCUAGUGUUGUGCAAUUUUGUAAGCCUUGUCAGUUGUCUUGAGUGAGAAAGGUCCUGGAAACAUCAGUGUUCCAACUGUUUUGGUCUCUCACCUAGGAUCAGGUUGUUUUGUUGACAGGAGGCCCAUAGAGGUUUUCUGACUAGAGCCUGGCUUUUACAAUGGCUUGUAUUCGCCAUGGUUGUUUUUACAUGUCACUUUUGGUUUUGUUCCACUUUUUUUUAAAUGAGAACAAAACUUUUCUUAGUUUGUGGAGUCUGCUGAGGGAUCAGUGAAGAUAUGCAAGCUAGCACUGCAGGUACAAAUGCGCAAGGCAAAAUGGAACGGGAGGAGGGGAAGGGUUUGUUGAGAGUUUUAUAGGGGACUGAAUUUCAAAUAAAAUAGGCGUUCCUGUUUCUGAGCUCUUAAGUUUUCUAGUUUGAAAACUGAAAUGGGGCAGAAAUUCACAGGACUGCCACAACAAUCUGAUAGUCCUGGUCCACAUUGUGGUAACCAAGUUACCCAGAUAUGUGUCUACUUUAUUCUGACAGUACCUCUUCCAACAUUUGGUGUGUUUUCUCUUCCCCCUCCAACUGGACUUCAGAGGCCUUCAUAAACUGAAUGAAUCCUUUAUUUGCAGAAAUGCAUAGAAAGUAUCUGCGCUCUUUAAGGCACCAAAGUUCCUUCUUUCUGCAGAGAAUAACAGUUUUGGGAAUGGAAUUGCAAUUCAUUUUAUUUCAGUAGUUGUCCAGCCUUGUAGAAUAUGAUUAUGGAUUCAGAGGGGGAUACGUUUUUAACUAUGUCUGGAACUAGACUAUAGAGAGAAACAGGGAGAAUUUUGUCAAUUCUGUAAAUAUGAAAUCAGUGCAAAAUACCAUUUUAGUCCAAGUGAUUCUUUUUGUACCUCUCACUCAGCAGUCAAUUAAGUAUGAGAACCUUAAGUUGAUUCUAAAAAGGUAAAUGUUUUAAAGAUAACUGAAGUUAUUAUUUUUUUUAAUGUCAGCAUUUUUUUUGUGACAAGAAAUCUUUACAGAAUGAAAUGUCUUUUUAAUGCUGCAGAGAUGGUAUGGCUAUGCACGUGAUGCCUACUGCUUUUACAAGUUUGCUAGCAGUGGGUGCUCCCUCAAGAAAACUAUUGUUCCCCUCCCCCCACUAACAUUGCAGUUACAGCUUACUCAGUAUUAGGAUGGGAUGACGCUUGCAAUAUAAAUUAAAUUGGUAAUUACAUGUAUUACUUGGUUUCCUUUCAAUGUAAGAGUGCUGAUUGUACCUUUUUAUAUGCAUGUUUGCAUAAUUUUGGUUUGUUCAUUUAAAAUCUGCAUACUGGUUUCUUUAGGAAAAAAAGGCCUUUGUAAUGUUGGUUUAGGAAAAAAACAGGCCCUCAGUUAUUUAGUGAUGCCAUUUUCAUGAGCUUUUUUUUUUUUUUUUUUUUGUAUUGGAGUGAUUUGAAUAUGAAAUGCAGUCCAUGUUCCACACAUUAUAUAAAGUGUAUGUUGGCAAUAUUGUUUCCCUUAUUCCCUUGUCUGGUGCUGCACUUGUUAAUGGACCACCGUUGUUUUCAUCUGUUGCCCCUUCCAAAUUCCUGGCUCCUUGGGGGGAGUUUUGUGUUUUUUUUGUUUUGUUUUUUGCGUAGAUGACAAGUUACAAUAGCAGUUUCUUUUUGUUUUGAAGGGACCAAUUUCUGUUAAUAAAUCUCACCGCAAGCAUA